GACGAAGGGGGCUAGCGUUGUUCGGAAUUACUGGGCGUAAAGCGCGUGUAGGCGGUUGCCCAAGUCGGGUGUGAAAGCCUUGAGCUCAACUCAAGAAAUGCACUCGGUACUGGGUGACUAGAGGACCGGAGAGGAUAGUGGAAUUCCCAGUGUAGUGGUGAAAUACGUAGAGAUUGGGAAGAACACCAGUGGCGAAAGCGGACUUCUGGGUAGUUACUGACGCUGAGGUACGAAAGCGUGGGGAGCAAACGGG
rnacentral:rRNA from 1 species